rnacentral:tRNA from 1 species
UUUAUAUAAUAUAAAUUUAUUAUACUUGACUUCCAAUCAAGAAACCUAGAAAUAGUAUAAAUAA